UACGUAGGGUGCAGGCGUUAAUCGGAAUUACUGGGCGUAAAGCGUGCGCAGGCGGUUUGCUAAGACAGGUGUGAAAUCCCCCGGGCUUAACCUGGGAACUGCGCUUGUAACUGGCAAGCUUGAGUGUGGCAGAGGGGGGUGGAAUUCCGACGUGUAGCAGUGAAAUGUGUAGAGAUCGGGAGGAACACCGGUGGCGAAGGCGGUCUUCUGGACGGUGACUGACGGCUGAGGCGCGAAAGCGUGGGGAGCAAACGGG
rnacentral:rRNA from 1 species